rnacentral:rRNA from 1 species
GACCCGUCUUGAAACACGGACCAAGGAGUCUAACAUGUGCGCGAGUCACGGGGUCUUGAUUAGGCCCAGAGGCGCAAUGAAAGUGAAGGUCGACCUCGACGUCGACUGUGUUGGGAUUUCUCGCCCUUCGCGGCGGGGAAGCACCAACGACCCGUCCUAUCCGAUUUAUCGGUUGGGCGGAGUCGGAGCGUACACGUUGGGACCCGAAAGAUGGUGAACUAUGCCUGGGCAGGACGAAGCCAGAGGAAACUCUGGUGGAGGUCCGUAGCGGUUCUGACGUGCAAAUCGAUCGUCAGACCUUGGUAUAGGUGCGAAAGACUAAUCGAACCAUCUAGUAGCUGGUUCCCUCCGAAGUUUCCCUCAGGAUAGCUGGCGCUCGGAGGAAUCAGUCUCAUCCGGUAAAGCGAAUGAUUAGAGGCCUUGGGGCCGAAACGACCUCAACCUAUUCUCAAACUUUAAAUGGGUGAGAAGUCCGGCUUGCAUGACUGAAGCCCGGACGUUUCGGAUGUGAGCGCCCAGUGGGCCACUUUUGGUAAGCAGAACUGGCGCUGUGGG